CUGGGUUAUAGCCUAUCCAGGGUUGAGUUUUUGAUUUAUCUCCUUUUAAGGCAUCCCCUUGAGAAGGUCCUGCUCUAAGACACUCUGGCCUUAAUCUCCAAGCCUGCAGAGUGUCAACAUUACAAGGUCGGCAAUCCACAACUCCCGCAAAGUUACUGGUUUCCCAAUUGUUGCUCAACCCUCAUCACGUAGGCCUAGCAACCUUCUGUUACCCAGUCCCUCAUAGCAACAGGCUGCCUAGCAAUUUCUGGAAUGACAACAUAACAUCCCAUAUCACACUUGCAGGCUCUUCCUGUGAGCAUAAAGCUGUAAGUAUUGCACCUUAACUUUCAUCGCUCUCUCAACAUAGACUAUUAGUAAGAUUUGUAAUUUUCUUUUCCUAUUCUGUUCCCACCACCUACUUUUCCUUCAUCUGUCUAUGAAGAUAUUUUGAAAUAUAUAUCUGUACAGCAUGAAGUUCUUGUUGCUUUUUUUUCUGUUUUAUGACCUGCUCAAAUAUUGUUGUUUAUUUUUUCCCUUAUUCUAACUAUUCCCACUGAUAUUACUUGUUCAAACUAUCUGAAACAUUUGCUAAUUAUAUCUCUUCUGAUCAUAGAUUCAUCUUUCCUUUUUCUCAGACAACUCACAAGAUGUUUUUUCUGUCACUACUCUAGGAAAAAGUGUUAUUCGGUCAUUAGUUUUGAAAGGAUUUAAAUCAUUUAGCAGAGGAGGAGAAAUGAAACUGAAUAUCCUUAUUUUUUUCCUCAAAAUAAUGAUAUAUCAUCCUAUUUCCUUCUUGUUGUUCUCAUGCAGCAUUCUUGCACUGACAAUGGUAAUAGGACUUGUUAGUUCACAAUGUAUCUUUGGGCUUAUUAUGGUUAAUAAGCUGCAGUUUUAUGGUUAACACAGGCAGUGUUUGUAUAUCUCAUGUGGAUUAUUUAAGCCUCUUUUCAUGGAUACAUCUGACACAGCUGGUAAGAGAGCCUAGCAGGAGAGGUACCCCACUAGAUCUGCUGUUCACAAGCAGAGAAGGACUGGUGGGAGAUGUGGUGGGUGGAAACUGUCUUGGACAUGACGACCAUGAUAUAAGAGAGUUCUUGAUUCUUGCUGAAGUGAGGAAGAGGAUCACUGAAAACACUACCUUGGACUUCCAGAGGGCACACUUUUAAUUGUCUAUGGCAUUGGCUGGGAGAAUCCCUUGUGAGACAGUCCUGAAGGGCAAAGGGGUCUAAGAAGGCUGAACAUUUUUCAAGAAGAAAAGUUUAUAAGGCACAAGAGCAGGUUGUCCCCAUUUGCCCUAAGACGAGCUGGUGGGGAAGAAUGGCCUGGCUGAACAGUGAGCUUUCACAGAGACUCGGGGGGAAGAAGAGAGUUUAACACCUUUGGGAAAAGGGGCAGACAUCUCAGGAACAGUAUUCGGAUGUUUCUAGGAUAUGCAGAGAUAAAAUCAGAAAGGUGAAAGCCCAGCAAGAACUUAAUUAGAUCACUGUUGUAAAAGAUAACAGAAAAUAUUUUUACAAAUACAUUAGCAAUAAAAGGAGGGUCAAAGUGAAUCUCCAUCCUUUAUUGGAUGCAGUGGGGAACAUUACCACCAAAGAUGAGGAAAAGAUUGAGGUACUUAAUGCCUGCACUUUCAUCACUGUAACUACAUGUAACACUAAAGGCUGGGGACAGAGUAGCUGGAAAGCUGCACAGAGAAAAAGGAUCUGGGAGUACUAUUUGAUAGCUGGCUGAACAUGAGCCAGCAGUGUGCCCAGGUGGCUAAGAAGGCCAAUGGCAUCCUGGCUUGUAUCAGAAAUGGGGUUGCCAGCAGGAGCAGAGAGGUAAUUGCAGGAAGUCCCUAGGUUACUGGAAGUAUUUACCACGAGGAGGACAGCUGUAUACUUGUCUGCUUUUUAAUUCUUCCCUAUUUGCUACCAACCACACUCAAAAGCAGGAGACUAGACUCAUGGGCUUUUGGAGUAAUACUUAUUAGAGCAUGUUUUGAAGCUUUCAUGUUGCCCUUUAUCUGACCGUGUUCUUUUAUCAAUAUUUGUCCUGUCUUCCUGGUUAUUCUUUCUCUGAAUGCAGAUAAAAUGACUAUCAUUUUAAGUGGAGAACAGCACCUUUCAAAGAGAUGAGUUUUCACUGAACAGAAUUUUGAAUUUUGUUUGGUGUCAGUAAUCAUGUGCUUCUAAAUUGGAAAACUCCAGGUAUUUAGGUGGGAGUACAUCAUCACUAUUUGCCUUCAUUAAAGGACAUGUUACUUUUAUGUAUCUACAGUUUCUACAGUUCCAUGUUGCAUCUGGCUGUUCAAAUAGCUCCCGAAACUGCUAGUGAAAAAAUUGUAUCCAGCAGGAAUUAACGUAUUCUCCCUUUUGCAAAAGCUGUGCUGCUUCCACUCUUAGGUGCUUAUAGUAUUUCUACUGAUGAUCUUCCAGAUUUAUUUUUAGGUAUGUGAAUUUACUUCAUUCUAUUUAUUACCAUGCAUCAAGUAAUCAUAAAGAGAGUAUUUCCAGAAGGCUAAGGAAUCAUGGUUUUGUGAAAAAAAUGAUCCACAAUUAUCUUGAAACUAUCCCCAAAACCAAGUGCAGGCUACUAUGUUAUUAAAAUAGUAAAACACUGAUAAUGACACAUAAAAAGGCUGGGGCUCACCAAGGGUGAGACUAGCAGCCCAUAAGAAGAAUGAUAAUAAGAUCUUCAAGAACAGAAGGCAGCCACGGAAUUUAUAUUCAAUACUUACGGUACAUAAUAUAAUCUUUUAAAUUUACAAUUAAAUUUCUGGAAUCUGGGAAAAAAAAAAAAAAAGAGAGAGAGAGAUUCAAAUUUCAAAAUAACGCAGGUAAGGCACAGGAAUUAUGUUGUUAGCAACUAGAACUACAAGUUCCAUAAAGAAACUGUGAUGGAAAGACUGGUUGUUGAAAACAGCUUAAAACUAUACUUUAGACAACUAAUCAUAUACCAAUACCAUAUGAUUCCCAGUGUAGUGCUCAUGUUACCAAGCCUAAUAAAGUUUUUUAAAAAAGUUCUUAGACAUCUGGCUUAAUUUCCAAGUAAUUCUAUGUGGAGAUAGGAGUUGGAUUUGAUGACCCUUUGAGUCCCUUCCAAUUCGAGAUACUCUCUUCUAUUCUGCUCUGCUCUUUGGUGUCAUGACUGCUCGUCAUGAAGUAUAAGAUUAAAUUAAUUUUUGUGUUUCAUAAUGUGCUGAUGGACAGUGCUGACCCACAUUUCAAGCAGCAAGUAAUCAUUUUGGUUUUAUGAGAGGGAUAGUUGAAUCUGUAGUGAAACAUUUGUUCUAAUUGUACUUCCUGAGAGGUUUCCCAUCACAUACCCCUUCUACCUUGAUCUCAUUGGGUGCAUACAUUUUCUGACACACACAGAGCACCCUGCCAAGUGUGUGUGUCCCAAAAUGUUAUCACACGAGAAACUAUGUGGGGACACAGUUUGAUUCAAGCUUAACCUGGUAACUGCUCUAUGACGGUGCACUGUAGACCCACCCAUUACACUUGGUAUUGAAAUGGCUGAGGUGCUGCCCUGAAGAAAAGCCCUAAUGGUUUUCCUGAAGGGACUUCACUCACAGGGAAUAGCCAACAAAAUGGGGGGGAGUAGAGGAGACCUCUUCUUUCCCAUCUGCCACCCACUGGUGCUAUUGGGUUGACUUGCACAAAACUGCUGAACAGGAAACAAUCAACAAGUGUCCUUGGCCUGCCUUCCCUAUCUGUGUGAAGGAGCAUCCUUCAAAGUGAGGAGACAACAAAAAGCCUGAUGUACCUCUCAAGUGCACACUGGAGGGUGACUCCAGUCCUUCUGGCACAAAGAGAAAGCAGUGCUUUGGCAUAACCCAAUAGCUUUGCUCAGCAAAGACUGGAAGGAGCAAAAAUAUGGGUACUUCCUCAUUAGUCCACAGCAGGGUGUGGCUUGUUCCAGUGCUCGCUGGAAGCUAAUUUUAUGCCAUGUGGAAAAAUGAAGGUGUUGGUUUUAGUUUUGGAGAAAAGCUGUUUCACAUUAUUAUCUCAGCUGCUUAGCAAAGCAUCAUCCUAUGAGAUGUGAUAUGUAGAUUUAGCAUCAAUCCUUGGACUCUUUUGAGCUGUAUGCUAACACCUGUGCUGUAAGAGCAAUAUCACCACAGGAGGAUAAGUCACAGUCUGAUUUUAGGAAUAUCUCCAACUUCUCAUUGAAAUGCAGGUCAAAGGGAGUCAAAAAUACCAGCUGAAUGAGCAGAAAGCGAUUAGUGAUACAUGUAAAUAUCUAAUUAUCUUCAGCAGGAGCUUCGUGAAAUUGCAGUUGUAUUAUAUUAGAACAUAAAGAAUCUGCAUGGGGUUAUGGAGGAAGAAUUAAUUUGCACAUAGAGCAGCACUGCAACCAUUAUUUAUUUAUUUAUUUAUUACUAUUGCUGGAUAAUUUUCAUGAUGUUCAAGAGGUUAAACUGAGACGAGCAGAGUCUCUCCUCUGCCCUGUAUCCAUCUGGCAUUCGGCAAACUGGGUAACAUCUCUUUAAGAGAAAUGAAAGAAAAAAUACAAGAAACUUUGCCUUCCUCAUUUUUCUUUUGCGCUGAGCUCCUGAGAUUGGAGAAUGUCUGGACAAAACCAUGCUUGCAGAAUCUCCUGCAGUAAGUGGCUUAAAGCAAGUCAUUGCUGCUGCUGCUGCAGAAGAUGCAGAUUUAAAAGACUUGAGUAUACACUGAUGCUGCAUGUUAAAGAAAGGAGAAGUGCUGUCUUCCCCUUAAUUGGAUAACCUGCUUUUUGGAUUUGUUGCUAGCUUUCCUAAGAUAAGGAUGCUUUUUAAAUGUUGUUUAAGAUUGUCCUUUAGUUAAACUCACAGUUUAAUUGAUGACGUAGUUCAAUACAGGCAUUUUUCUGCCUCUGCAGUAGCAAAUCCUGCAGGACAUUUGUAUGCAUCUCAAAUAUUUACUAGGUUCAACUCCUGUAUAGAAUAAUAUGAUUAAUUUCUGAAACAUAUCAGACUAAAGUCUGGCAGGAACUAUCUGAAGGUUUUCCCUGCUGUCUUUUUCUCAGUGUCCUCAAAGAAGUUAAUUUUUCUUCCCAAAAGUCUUAGGUCUGUAGGUUCUGAAAUAGUUCCCCUUUAGAGACAUUUUAAAGAAUGAUUUAAUAGAUCUCACUAAUGAAAAUAACGGUGCCAAUGGUCUACAAUAACAAAUGAAAACGUUCUCAGAGCAUUUCAAGGUGAACUUUCAAUCAAGGUUACAUUCAGUGCAAGGUCACUGUUGCCUGAAUUUUUUUUCUGAGGGCUGGGGAAAAUGAAAUGUAUGCUUUACUUUAAAAAUGUUUUGAAGUUGACCCAAAGAGUGAAAGUGCAGUCUUAAGGGACCUCUGACAGCAGCUUCUUGAAGUACUCAGAAGGAAGUCAAUAUCAGUGCUGAACUUAGAUCCAGAAAGGUAAAGAUUGAAGUUGAAAUGCUGUAGAAGAGCAAGACAAAUUUAAACUCAUGCGAAGUUGUCAGGAAUGCUCUGAGCCCUAGUAAGUGUGUGAAUGAUGUUUGUUAAGAUUGGAGGGUAAGCACAGAAGACAGCAGACAAUGAUGUUAGGGAUUUUUAAUCCCGCUUUCAGAAUUUUAGCUUUUUGUGUGUGUGUGUGUGUGUGUGUGUGCAUGUGAUUUUUCUUUUAAUGAAAUAAACUUAAAAAAAUAGCACACAUUACUCUUUGUAAAUAGAAAAUUUAGAGAGGAUAUCCAUUUUAAGGAAAAAAAAUAUCCUACUGUUUAUGUUGUUUCUCUCUCUGUGUGCAUGUAUAAAUCCCAUUAGAAAAAAAUGAGAAAAGAUUAAUGCAAUCUAAAGUGCAAAUUCUCAGCCAAAGCAUUAGGUAUAAUUUUAAUAACAUCAUCACUUCCUUGAUAUUUAGAGAAUGAAGAGGUCAGAGAUGGAAAACACAGAGCAGGCAAACAUUCUACAUUACUAACAACAUCUUUUGUUUCGAUCGUCUCAUCUUCUGUUUUACUUUUGUAUACUCGAUCACAGUUCUGCUGUAAUGUUUUUCUAUUUGCUAUUCUUAACGUGUUUUAAAGUACAAUUGUUUUCACUGAGGAUUUAAAAGUUGUUAGGAAUUUAAGUGUUAGAUGCUUUGUGUGUAUAACAUUGAGACCACCAUAAUGAAGAAACCAAAUAAGACUGAUACGAUCAUGCUGGUCCUACCACAGUAAUGUUUAAAUCUGCCUAUUGCUGUGAAAUAUUUUUUGUCUAGAACUGUAUGAAAAGACAAGACCAUUUCUUAUUGGUAUCAUGUGGAAUGAAAUGUGCUUUGGAAUUCAAGUUACCAGGACUGGUUCCACUAGUUUUAGAAGUUCAGGGCAGCUGUGAAUGAGCUGGCAAAUCUAGGUAUUUUGCCACUUGAGAUAUUAUAAGUAGAGCAGGUAAGCUGGAAAUCUAGGCCCCUUCCUCAUAGCUCUUCAUACUCUUUGUUCAAUCUUGAGAGAAAAAAAAACUGGUUUUCCUUGAAGAAACUUGAAAGAAUGCACCUGUCUAUCUAGGAAGGCAAACGGUAGGAGGAAGACCACUGUCACACAGGAGCCUUUAAAAGAAAGUUGAAAAAGCCCCAUGCUACUACAGCACAUAUAAACCUUUUUUUGCUGUUAGGGAAAUUCAUUUUAGCUUUUCCUAUUUUCUUUCAGAACCACCCAAAACUUUGCAUAAAACCUGUUUCAGUUUGUAACAAGCCACUCUUUCCUCUGCUGCUCAGCCACUGAAGGUCCUAUAUUCCCUCAAUUCGGGCUCUUUGCAAACUCCAAAUUUUAAUGUCAGCUUCACUUCAUCAGUUCAUACAUCUGAAGGCCAACAGGGAUCAUUAGAGAACUUAUUAUGAGAUAAAUAUAACACCAGCAUUUCAAUUUCACUUAAGCUCUGUAGUAAGCCAAAUAACUUAUAACAGACUGAAGCUUAUGUCUCAGCACAGCCAUCAGCCUUGAUUUGAUGAUAUCAGGAACUGGGAAAAUAUCUCCACUUUCCUUGAUGAUUCUGAUAGUUCGUCACCACUGCAGUUAAACAAUUCAAAGUGAUGAGGCAAAUAUGUUUACCUAUAAGCUCCAGCCAUUGAUUCUUGUUAGAUGUAUUUCUCCACUAGCUAAAAAACCCAGUGUCCAACAGUUCUCUCAGUUCAGUAUUAAUGUGCACCUUCAGGGCAAUCUAUGCUGCAAUAACUCAGUAAGCCUCAGAAAAUGUCACAUUCGAGAGCAGUUAGACAUUGACAUUUGGAUGCUUUCUUUACUAUCCAUAUUCUGCAAAGUUUGCUAAGAACAGACUACUUGGAUGUGCUAUGGGGCAUCUAAGUUAGAGGCAUCACUGUUGGGAACAUCAAUAUUGAUUUACUUAACUUUGAUUUGUAAGGAAAUUAGGCUUUUUAAAUCAUAUGGUUUGUCCGUCCCUCUCAAUCCUCAUUUCCCACGGAACUUGGGAACAUGCUGAAUACUUUUUAUUUGAUAGGUCAGUAGAAAUCACAAAGCUUUUAUGUUCCUUUAACUUCCUCUACAAGGCAGAGGGAUCAGAGAGGCUUCCAUGCAGCUUGUUCCCCUCUACCCAUCUUUCACCAACUGAAGGAACAGCUGCUGCAUCCUAUUUAAUUUGUGCCAGUGUCAAACUGAUCAGUAUCAAGGUGGUUCAGAACCAGACAUAUGACAUGCCUCCUCACCAUCCAUCAAGGAGGAGCUGUGUGAAAAAUUUAAAGGAGGAUGAAGAGAAGGUGGUUACUGCAUGGUGGGAGGAGUUAACUGCAAGAAGCAGGAAUCACAAGGAAUUACAAAAAUGAGACAGAUUAGAGGGACAUCAACAUUCCCUGGAGGAAACUGUUUCUUUAGUUUCUGACUCAAACUAUGACAACUUACUUCUGCAAUCAGUCAGAAUUCUAAGUCUGAAUCUAACAAUAACCCCUGCAAUAUAUUUACCAGAAUCACAAUGUCUUUACAUUACAUUGCUCAGCUUCUUCUUCUAGAAGGAGUAUUAGAAGUAUUAUGGCCAUAAAUGUAUAUAGCCAGAAGACCUGCAAUAUUGUUGGAAUACACUGUUUAAAAACAACUUUCUCAGUUUGUAUCCUGAUUUGGGGGCAGAAAAAAAAAAUAUUUUCCUUGCGCUGUCAUCUUCAGAGACUAUCUUUUAGGGCCAAAAUAUAAAUUCUGGAAAACAAAAAUUAAAAAAAAAAACAAAAAAAAAAAACCCACAACAGGUGUUCUGUUUUUGUUGGUUUUUUUUUUUUUUUCUUUUUUUCUUUCCUGCUUUCUACCUUUUCUUUUAGAUGUCUCUAUCUGCUGUCAGGCUUAUUCUACAGCCCAUAAUUUCCCUUCGUAUCUACAAUAUCUGAAAAGAAAAUAACCUUUCAGAACUAAUUAAUGAAGAUUAUAACUCAGUGGGUUAAAUAUGCUUAAAAUAAUUAACCAUGCUAUUUACUGGAUGAAAUUCUCACAAUUUCUUAUUAAGGGUUUUCAAUAAAGGGUUAUCCCAGAAGUUACACUGGAGUAUAAAUAGGUAUAUGCUGUGUUCCUGACAUAAACUUUUAAUGACCUUAUUUUACUUCCAAUUCAAAGCAGUUUUAUUUUCAAAAGUCUCUCUCAUGCACACAAUUCAAACAUUAAAAAAAAAAAUGACUGCAGAUUUUAUACAAAAAAUUUCUUUACUAAGGGAGUCCUCUUUUGUAGAAAGAGGACAUUUCACAGCAUUACCUGGUGUGUGUAAAGAAAAAUAGGGAAGGGAACUGAGAACUGGACUUCUGCCCAAAUUGAUGCAUAGACUUUGAGAGAAAAUCUCAUAAAUUUGGGGUAGUAUUCUGGGGAAUCUGAAGAGAAAUAGUUUCUCAAGUAGUUGUUUUUCUUUUUUUUUCUUUCUUUUUUUAUUUAUUGUUUUUACUUCUUUAGGAAUCUUAUAAUUCACUUGAAAGAUUUUCUUCAGUUUGAUCCCUCAAAAAAGCAGUGAACCCUUUUAAAAUGUUUUUCCAGAGAUUUCAAAAUGAACUUGAAAGAAAGAUUCAUAUUUAUACCUCUACUGCUGAAAUUCUAUGUUUCUCAGUGGCCCAAACCUGUAGAGACUAGCUAACUCUUAAGGAAGCUAAUGGGAAAAGCAACCCUCUAUCCUUACUGUUGUGCAUAACUCUAUUGAGAUAUACGCAUAUGUUUGAGACUGCAGAACACUACACUGUACAGAUUAGAUGAGAGAUGUUUUAAAGUGACUUCUAUUCCCCAUACACAGUAAUAAUAGCAGCAUUAACUUCACUGACAGCUGUAUAAAACUCUAGCCUCUGAUACUACAGACAAAUCUAAAUAUUAUUUUAAAAUCAAUAGAAAUAUUUCUGCUAACUCCAUCAGUGAAUGGCCUGGUCCCCAAUUCAAGUAUCUCCUAAUUAAAGAACGUCACUGGCUCAGAUAACAUAGAAUAAUACAUGCCAUGUUAAUGCUCAUUAUCCAGCUUUCCCAUCUCAUGCAAUAAAGAACAACUGAACAGAGCUUUCGUAUUCUAUUUGUAUAGCAGUCUCUCUCCAACCGGAGAACAGUUAAACAAUUUCACAAUUUUAAGUAGUUGCUAAAAUUGACCCUUCACUUUUCUAAACCACUCUUGUCAUCUUUGAGUGUGUUUAGCUUAGCCAGUUUUUGGAUUUCAAAAGCCCUUCAUUCACGUUUCUAAGAUAAUUAAAAUGUAUAUCAAAUUUCUCUGCAUCAGUUGCCUCUGACUACAGCCAAAGGAGAACUGGAGACAGAUUUUAUGAUGGCUGGUCGAGGAACUUUGUUUAAAGGGAACACAAAACCUCCAGCAAAACAAAGAGCAAUUUAAAUGUGACAGUGGAUGAAGUCAUAUCAUUAAACAGAAAAUUAGAGUUUAAAUGCAGAAAACAGUAUCACUGAUAACAGCAAUAAUUGGACUGCAAUGCAAUUAGCACCUAAACAAAGAUAGGAUGGGCAGCAGUCAGUUAAACACACUGUUCUGUUUACGAGGGAGCAAAAUUACUUCUGGCAGGUUCAUGGCAAUGCCAGGCAAAGUAUUUGCAGGUAAGACAACUGUCAUACACAGAGAGAAGGGUUGAACUUACACAGGUGCUGAAGGAACACUCUAACGACACAACGCUCCUUCUCGGGAAGCAGUCUAGGUCCAAGAGAUGCUCUCCCUUCAGUGGCUGCCCUUACAUGAGCACAAGGUAGCUCCACCCUGAGUCCGUCCCUUCUGGUCACAAAGAAAACAGAGGUGCGAACAAUGUGCCUAUGAUCCCUGGGCCAGCCACACCCCUUCACCAGGUGCUCAGUCACCAGUUCAAGCCCUGAUAUAACAGUUUCCCUACAGGUGUGCUCCUCAAAAGUGCUCUUGCCUCUGCUUGUUUCAGGGGAGACUACUUAAAGCAAUCACUUCAUGAAUCUGCCUGAAAAACUUUCUGCGUGUAUGUGGGUAUCUCUCUGUGGGUCUCUAUGUGGUCUCAAGUUACAUUGCACUUAAGAAGUGAUUGGUUCCCCCAGCAAAAUAAUGCUCAAGUGCCACAAUCAGGGAUCCAGUGAGGGCCAGCUUGAGCUGCAGUUGACAGCGUGGAAGACCACAUGGAACACCUUAUUGCAUCACAUUAGGAGACUACUGAAAGUGAUUGAAGAUACCGCCAACCUCAUCCCCUAGCAUAUGUAUCUUCUACUACUCCAACUCAGUCUCUUGCUGUGUAAGAACUCGAAUGUCAUCACAAGGAAUUUAUCAUGAUUGUGACUUGAUGACAGAAGACGUAUUUCCAGUCCUUGAUUGCUAAAUACUUAGGAAAAAAUAUUACCUUGACUUUCUCUUCUCCUACACAACAUGGAGUGUGAAAUAGAGACCUAUCAUACAUGAUUUUUGUGAAGGAAAAUUCCAUAAAGUAUUUUAAUAUGGUAGUAUUUGAAACGUGAGUGGAGAAGAUAGGGGGUGCACUAUGAUGAGCAUAAUAUUUGGUAGGAGAGCCAGCUUUCUGAAAACUUUGGUUGCUAGCUCUUGUUCAGAUGCUACUUAGAUUUAUGUUAACCCAGCUACUGGGAGUCUGCAUGGUGAGACAAGUCAGGGAAUUCAGCAAAGUUAGAAAGAACACAGAAGAAUGUGUAUGUAUUUUCUGAAGCACUGUAUUUUCACUGUAUGAUUGCAGGGAAAAAAAGAAAAAAGUAUCAGCAUUAAGUAAAGGAAGGAGGUGGAAUAAUAGCUGCUUAAAUCAUAUUAAAUCAAAUACUUUCUAAGUCACAGCUUGAGGUAUAAGUGGACUUUGUUUGUUAAAAAAAAUGUGUCUGGCAGCUGACGGAGCAAUUGAUAAGGACAAUCUGAAGAAAAAUACUUAUGGGGAAAAGGGUGUGAUAGAGGACAGUGAAGACCUACUUUGGGAGCAAAUCAAGCAAAAUGGUUCUCUGAAGAGCAAGUAAAUGAGAUGCUAAUGAAAUAUUAAAUCAUUGCCAGAAAAUAGAAUACAUGAGUUUACACAAUAUUUAUGAUAGAUAAAUUAUAUAUCCUCCUAGAAAAUAGAAUUUAGAAGUAGCAAUUCAAAAAGAUGCUUGGAAGAUUCCAGAUAGAGAUCAUGAAAUUGGAGAGUAUCUAGUGAAGGGAUAAGCAUCAGUGCAAAAGUACAUUUCCUUCUAAUCAUUUAAUGAAUGCUUCUGGUAUUUGAUUUUAGCUGUUUCCUCAUCUAACUUAGAUUUGUUUGUGAAGUACAAGCUGGUGCUUUAUGCAGAAUCUGAAGAUGACAGGAAUUUCAGGAUUGGGUUUAGAUCAAGACACAAGAUCUCUUUAAAAUGCUUAUUCAAGAAACCAGUAGUUAACAGAUUCAUUGUCCUUUAAAAAGAAAAAAUGGGUGAAUAAUACUUAAAAUCAUUCUGUAUAAAAUAGUUCUGGGUAUACAGUUCUGUGAGUCUAACUGUAUGCAAUUUACAGAAGAUAUAUAACGGUAGAUACCACAGAGACUUUUUGUGUGGUAGAUAUCAUGCAGACACAGAACAAAGAAAUUGUAUUAUCAGAAAUGAAGUGUUAAACCAGCACUUUAAAAUCACUUUAUACCAUUUUGACUCCCUGAUCUGUAUGUUACACGAGUCUCAUACUCUGGGUUAUAAGUUUUUAAAAUGAUUUCUAAGUCUCUAUUUUACGUAAAUUAUGUCAUCUUUCAAUCUCAGUAGCUUUGGCACAUUUUAUCACCCCAAGCAGGUCGUAAUUUGUUAGCUUUCUUUGCUUGAACUGAGUAGUAUAGUAUUAUAUUAGGUUCUUUUUUUUCUCAUUUUAAAAUGACUUUAUAUGACAAACACUGGACUGUGAGAGAUCUACUCUGACUAUUCAAGGACUCCUCAGAACUAAUAAAUGUUGUGAAAUGGCUUCUGACAAUCUGGUACUUUUUCAGUAAUGAAGAAGUAGAAGUCAGCAGCUCCCUACCUAUAAGCCCUAAGAUUUAGAGUACGUGGGGACAUGAGCCGCUUUGGUUUACUUAGAUUCAAUUUUUACCACCAGUUUUGUCUAUAAGCAGUGAAGAAUACAUAUAUAUCUUAAGGCAGCCCAGUGCUUCAGAGAGUGGAAACCUGAAGCCAGCUAACCAUGUCCCAAAGGGUAAUCCCAUUAAAAACAAUGUUAGGGAUUAGUGUGGGAUGUAUUUUUUGAAAGCAAUUUGUAUUCCACUGAAGGCAAACUUUCAAAAGCAGAGUUAGAAGUUAGCAUCAAAGAGUUAACCCUAUAUAAGCAUUGUGUCAUUAAUUUUCAAGGCCUUCUUACCCAUCCUUCCCAGGGAGAGGCUGGUUUUAGGCAGUUGAAAUUGCAGAGAUCAAAACGCUUAUUAAAGAUUUAUUAGGGUAAGGAAUAUACUGUACCUACUACAGAAGAUAAUUUAUAUAUCCUACCACAUUUCUGGAAACAGUGAAUUUUGAUAGAUUCAUGGAAGGCUAAGGACUGUCUGAAAAUGUGGUGGCAGCUCAUGUAGUAAAUAGAACAGGCCAAGGACUGCUCUCUGCUCCUGGGGCCAUCUGGCACAACGUAUCCAUGGGACUGAGUUUUCUUCAUCCCAAAACAAAGCAGCAGCAUCCACACACCUACAGGAUGUGGUCACUGACCAUGUGAAGCCUAGCAUCAUGCCUGGGAGGAAAGAUAGUGUGCUUGGGACAAAAUUUACUAAUAUGCAGUAUGGACAGUUACGUGCCAAAGCCUGGACAGGUCCACUGGUACUGUCUCUGUGUUGGUACAGACUUAGCCAAAGACUACAGUGGAGCAGCUGCAGAAUUACAGACAGCAAGGAGGACAGCUAAGACAGUGGAGGUUGUAUAGAUAAGGUGUAGAUUUAGAAUUUAAAAAAUAGAGUUCAAACCAUAGAUGGCUGCUCAAGAUGCUUUUAAAAUGUAGCUAAACUCCUAAUGUUUGGGCGUACUCUCCCUUUUAGUGGGAAUGAAGGAUUUAACGUAAUGUUAAUGACAUUUAAAGUGUCAGAUGGUUUCUGCAUUUUCUUCCACAGCUUCUGCUGUAUAUCUAAAGGGAUAUAUGAGGAUAAUUGGCAAAUACCUUCUAAAAGCAAGGUAAUUUACAAAUAUAUGUGAAUCACCAACCCACAUAAAGCUAUCAGAAGGGCAGUGUUGUAUAAGAUUGCUGUUUAAAAAUUGCUGUACUUCACAGAUAUUAAAUGAUCACCGUAUCCUUAAGAAAAAAGUUUGGGCAAGGUUGUGGCCAGUUUCAGAUGUGGCAUUUGCUACAAAUGGUGUUCCUUCAAGUUUUAGUUUAGAUAAUUUCUAUAACUUUGCUGUUUGUUACUGCACAUAACUGUAGAAGUCUGUAGAAAUAUCACUCUGUAAAUGGAAUCCUGAACUCUUCCCUCCAGUGAAUAUCUGUGGUGUUUAGUGGGAGUUAGUCAUGAAGUGUGACCAGAUUUUAUGAUGUUAUUCAAGAAUUUUACCAGUUUUGUAACAAAUUAUAGAUAUUCUGCAUGGAAAAUUUGACAGAAAAAACUAGGAAACAGUGAACUGUUUUUGUAGUAGUUAAUGUCAAGGUAUAUAUACAGUCCCACGGAUCCUACUGAACAUGAUAUUCAUUACAUAGUUACAAAGGCAGAGUUUAAAAAUACAAAUUUUGUGAAAGCCACAAGCCCCCUGUUGUCAUAAUACAUUAUAAGAAAUUAAUCUACUGUUUCUUUUAUUUAAAAACAAGCAAAAAGCAAACAAACAACAAAAAAAAAAAACACACAAUGAAAUCAGAUCACUUGAAGUGUUUGAAUGUUUGUCUAAGGGUUUAUAUGUUUAAAUCUUUAUGAAGGACGUAAUUAAAAAUUAGAGAGUUGUGAGAUUCUGCAAUGGACUAAACCUUGAAGUAAAUUGUGAUGGUAAGGUGGGUGCUUGUGCACUGUGUCAGAAUGAAAUGCAGACUGAUGCAUUUGACUUCGUAAAGAAAAAUGAUAUCUGGAUAGUAGUCAUCCAGACUUUCCAGACAAAAAGAGAAAUUCCACGUGGCCUGGGUUCACGUUAUGCGAGGAACGUGCUGAGGUCCAGCUGCUAUUAAAAUAAAAAUUAUAUACUUAAAGUUAGGCAGGAACUUAAAGUCUUCUAAAUUCUCUUUCUAGUACUUUUAUUGAAUUAUUGCUUUAUUAGACAAGUUUAGAAGUCUUCUGUUGCUGUCUAUCUUAAUGUCUCUUACAUUUAAUCUAGUGGUUGGCAACUGUGCCCACAGCAGGGGGUUGAAACUAGAUGAUCUUUAAGUCCCUUUCAACCUAAGCCAUUCUUUGAUUCUAUGAUCUCAUGUAUCUUCAUUUGUAUCUACUAAGAAUGGAGAUCAUCAAUGAAUUUCAUAUUUCUUUUAAAAAGAGUCUGUUCUGUUGCCUGUAUCAGUUCCGCUGUAAUAAACAGAAAUAAGUCUUCCAGUACAUUCACCUCCUUCUGAGCUGUUUAUCAAGCAAAGUUCUUUGUAUCAUUCUACUUCAGCUUCUGAGAAAGAUAACACUGCUCAAAAUGGUACAGCAUCUGUUGGAUUGCACAAAACCCUACAUAGUUUUAUUAUAGAGCUGCCUGCAAGAUCUUAAUUAAUUGUUCGCAUAUGAAACAAUGACAAAUAGUGUUUCAUUAGGUGGUGAUAUUUUUAAUGCUGACUUAUAUCCCUAUGUCUGUUUGGACUGUGUGUGUGUAAAGAGGUUAGUGAAUUCAUACUGCAUUAAAAGUAUAUAUAUGAAAUAUUUAGAGAAAGAAAUUGCAAAAUACUACACCAAAACCACCACCACCAACAAAAAGCAACAACAAAAAUCCAUGUGGCCAGCUCUGUUAGCACAGAGAGCUAUUUUCUAUUUUGUUUCUAUUUUAUCUGAGAAAGAAGCUUUGUUUGGCAUGCUUUUGUUACCUUUGCUACAGAACCUCCCAGGCACAUUGCAUUUAGAGCCAUCUGAGGAGCCAGGCCAACUCCACAAGCUGAGAGCAGACUCCUGGCAGGUGCUAAGAUUUUCUCUGCUCACUGGCUGUCCAGCACAGGUAAAAAAGUACAAGGAAGGUACAACACUAAGCUGUUACAGCACAUGCUGAAACUUUGCUUCAUGGAAAGCAUUUCAUAACUGAUCAAAUGCUCCAACCAUUUUAAGACUGAAAAGAUACAUCUUCCUUUUGAGACAUUUGGUUGUUUUAUGCUUACUACUUUUAAUGUAAUUACUGGUGUUGAGUGAAAAAAGUGUGCCCUGAGUCUUCUGAGGCUACUUUAGAAAUAUUUAAUUUUUCAGUUUUAUAUUUAAAAUCAAUAAAUGCAUCCAGCACGUUUGGUUUUGGAUUGUUUCUGGAAGAUAGUUUGGAGAUACAGUAAGAUUUCUGAGCAGCAAUUUCAAGCUUUGAAAAAAAAUUACUCAUUUAGAAAAGGUUCUAUUCACAUUUUUUUCAGCAGUACAUAUUGAAUUACUAUAAACAUUAUAUAUAUAUACAUAUAUAUAUAUGUAUUUUAAAGUCAGUGUUAUUGAAUAAUACAGAACACUUGCCUGUUUUCCAAACCACUGAAGAAUUUGAAAAAACUGCUGCUGGAAGUGGCAAGUUUUUCUGUGUAAACACCUUUAUUUCUUUAGACAUAAUUUUAAAAAUCUCAGUUUUACCUCAGCAUGAAAGAGAUCAGGAGCAGUUUCUUUUGCACAAUAUUCAAAAUUAUUAUUUCUGAGAAAGUUUAUAAAAUAUGGCAACUCUUUAUGGAAAACUUAAUAUCUGGAAACAGACAUAGCAUGUAUUUCUUUCUGUACGUGAGAUGAUGGUAUUCUACUAUGCAAGUACAGAAGAUGACUCCCUCCUCUAUUGUCAGUAUCUGUGCUGUAUAGAGGAUUUCCUCACCAAAAACCUCUGAAAAAAAUUUUGUCAGUCUCCCUGAGGCACUGUGGCUGUUUGUCAAAUCUCCCUUUGCCUGGAUGCUAAGGCUCAUCGUAUGACAUUAAAUGUUCUAACAGUGAUAUGGAUCAGCAAGUCUGAUUUGCACAGUCUAGAUCUGAUUUCAGCCUCACUGUGAUUUUGUGCUGUUGGAUCUCUUCGCUUUCUUAAUGUCGUUGGAAAUACUCUCAGAUUACAUCAGAAUAUCCCAGAAAGUGAAAUCAAAUGGCUGGUCAGCUUCAGCUCAGAGUGGUCGUGUUGUGAAUCUGGGACUGAUCCAGUAAAACUUCAUUUGGUUUACAAGAUGUUCUAGUCAUUUAUGUUUCUUUUUCAUACAUGUACACAUAUCAGUUAUCUAACAGUCAAUGCUGUGAAACUGUUGACAGUAAAUUUUCUGUCAACUUUUAAUUCUGCUUCUUUUCUAUAAUUAUGUCCGUAAUAGAUUUUGUCUGCUAAUCUGUAUCUCUGUCACCUCAUUUUUUUUGUACAAUACUUUGUACAAUACUUCAUACUUUGAAUCUUCUGGAUUUAUUUUUUAAUUUAUUAUUUACUUUGGGAUUUAGUGUUUAUGUUAUAAAUUACCACCAGAGACCAUUCCACAUUGUUGGUUGGUCCAACAGUGGUCCAAAAGAAUUUAAUCUAGGACUUUGAGUCACCAGCCAUCUGAUCUAAAGGCAUCAAAACCAGGCAUAAGGUUUAAAUCAGUGCGUAGAGAUGGUUUUAACAGGCUGCUGCAUUUUGGCUGCAGACAGGCUGGGUUCUGGUUAGAAUGAAUGGGUAGAGACUGUCCUAGAGGCUGAAUGGCGGUUUCUUCCACAGACAGUGAGUACAAGGGAGUCCUAUCAGAUGUUCUUGCUCUUCUGUGUGCCUCUGAAAGCUGCUGUUUUAUAGGAGUGCCUGUUUUCAAAUUUGGUUGUUUUUUCUAUUCCUGGGAUAUUUGAACUCUAAUUGCACUGGGAAUCAGCAAGAAGAAGUGGCAGUAUUUCAAAGUUGUUAUUUAAUAGAUGUAAUAGCUGUUUGAUAGGAUGAUUCAUAUAUCAGAAACAUUAGUAUGAACAGUAUAUCUUAUUCAGGACAGACAGAUAACAGAAAGAGAUACAGGUGUUACCUUAUGUGCUACCCUACAUGAAGAUUUACUUGCUCUGAGAUUAAGAAUAAAAAAGGGCAUGGAACGCUUCAUUGUUCCUGACUGACAUUUAAAGAGGAAAAAGUUCUUAUGUUUUGAUGGCAGUCAGCAGUGGGACACCUAUCAAGAAGAUGUCCUUGAUGUGAUGAAUAUUUCCAGAUUUUUAUCUUUUCAGAUACUUUUCAGAUUUGAUCCUCAUAAUCAGGUAAAUGCAUGGAGGAAAAAACAAUUUAAAAUAACUUGAUGAGUUAUCAUGAAACAGCAGAAUUCAAGAGCAGGAAAAGAGGCAACGUGCUUCAGACGAACAGAUUAUAGACAUUCAGAGAACCAGUGAGAAACUGUGGGAGACUGUUCUGAGAGAGUUAAAAAUAGAAGAUUCUUUAAAGAAACUAUGUUAAAUGCAAGUUCAUGCAGAACUAUGCAAAAUAAACCAUGUGAUCUAGUAAAUUAUGAUGGUAUGGAGGAAGGAUAAGAGAUGUAGGUCCCUCACCAACGAUAAGACUUUUAAGAAUGAUGAAUAGCUGGACAUUUGAGACCAAAGAGAGAAACUGAGAAGCAGAGAUAGAAAACAAGUAGUGCAUAGAUGUUGUUUAGUUCACAGCAUUUUGGUGCACUAACGGGUACAGGAAGCUAAGGAAAGGCUAGGUCCACUUCUUUACAGAGUGAAGGCAUGGACAAACAAAGCCUGAAAGCCUAAUAUUAUCUUGCUUUACUCUGAAGGUCAGUUGUGAGCAGAUGACAUAUUGAAACGCACCCAUGACGACAAAAAAAAAAAAAAAAAAAAAAAAAAAAGGAAGAACUACUUUGAGAGGGAAAGAAGAUAUUUUUAUUUGUGUAGAUAAUCAAAAUAUGUUCUAAUCAGCUAGAUCAAUGUGACAUUCUCAAACUCUUGAAAAGGCUAGAAAGAGUUACUAUUUUUAAAAAGAAAUAGAAGAGAUGGUAUAAAGUUAUAAACCAAACAGUUAAUUUCAAUUCCUGCCAACAUAGUGGAGAUAAAUAGUUAGCAUAUUUUGUUGUGAACAUUUAGAAAGUAGCAUAUGAAGAAGAAGGAGUUGUCAAUAAAAAUCACAUCAAACCAAAAUCCAUUCUGUUAAGGGACAAUAUAGCUGUAGAAAAGCAGUUAAUGCAACAUUUUGAUUUCAGUGAGUCUUCUGACAUCUCCUAGAACACUCUCAUAAGAAAGCUAGGAACAUAUGGUCUAUAUGAAAAUGUUGUAAGGGAAAGAAAUCAAGCCACAGCAAUACGUUGAGUGGGUUUUUUCAAUAAUCUGUUCUUAUUCUAGAAUUAUUUGAUAUUUUCUUCAAUGACUUGUCUGACAAAGAGGAGAGGAGCUCAUAUUUGCAAAUGAUGCCUGUCUAGAAGGAAAUGCACGUGGAGAAUUCAAACUGAAAAUAUUCUUGUUAAUUUAGAGAAAAGAUUUGAGAAAAAGCAGGAUGUAAUUUAAUAAGAAAAAAGUGUGCGUGUCUCUCUACUUAAGCGGCAAUCAUCUGCCCAAGCACAGUUGUAAAGGUGCCCAUGUAACUAUCCACAUCUAGAGGGACCUUGAUAGGCUUGAGAGAUUAGCCCAUACAAACAUAAUAAAAUUCAAUAUGGCCAAGUGUAAGUUCCUAAUCCUGGGUCAAGGCAAUUCCAAGCACAACUACAGGCUAGGUGGGGAAUGGAUUGAGAGCAGGCCCAAGGAAAAGUGUUUGGGAGAGUUGGUUGAUGAGAAACAACACAAGUCCUCAGUGUGCACUUGCAACCAGGAAAGCCACCUGUAUCCUGGGCAGCAUCAAAGAAGCCUGGCCAGCACAAGGUGAAGUAGUUGAUUCAUCCUCUCUAAUUUGUUCUCACGGGACCCUACUUGAAGUACUCUGUUCAACUGUACUGGAUUCAGAUUUGCAGAAAAUCAUACAGUAUUUUGCAGAAAGGGUAAAAACUCCGUUUUAGGACUAUCUAGAACAUCUCAUAGGGGAUUUACUCUUUUUUUUUCUAUUUAAGACUUGUCUUUGAACAGUUGAUUACUCUCACACUCCAUAGCUAUAUAUAUAUUAUAUACGUAUAUAUAUAUAUGUAAAUUGCCCAGAAUUGCAAGUGAAAUAGUUUCUGUACACAGUUCCAGGCUAAAAGACUUUUCUUAGGUAUUUAAAUCCAAAAAGCUUCAACUUGUCUGAACAUUUUCAAGGAGAGCUAGAGGAACUGAAAAUACAGAGUCAUGGAGCAAUUCGAUAAGAGUAGAGCUGCCAUUGAUGUGGACUGUUCCAAACAAACUUCAGCAAAGCCUUUCACCAAGUAGAUACAAUUAGGAAGAAAGAGAGUAAAUGUAUCAUAGUAACGGAAAUAACAAGCUUUCACAGCUUGGCCAGUAUCAUGGGAGUUACUAUACCACAGCAGGCUGGCACAUGUUCUGUUUGUAAAAUACAGUGUACAGUACAUGUUUCCAGGAAAAUCAUAAAGACAUUUAUGAAUUACACUGGAAUUAUGUUGAAUUCCCUUCCUUUCUCUCACAGAGAUGGUUUCAUUGCUGCACAGCUAAACAAGUCAGUCUCUCGGGGGGAAAUAUGAAAGUGUAGUGGUGACAGAAAGCACCUCUGAUACAUGACCAGAUCACUGCAUAAUGCAUUACUCUUAUCCAUCCUCAACCUUAAAAAUCAGCACUAAGGUCUACAGCAAAAGUGGAACUGGCUUCUAAUAUUGAGGAAUUAAAGCCUUACAAAUGGAUUUGAUAUGAAUAAAUCACAUGAAGUCCUCACUGUCAAGUCCUCAGGAUGCUGUCAUUUCUUUGGGAAAAAAAUAAUAAUUAAAAAAAAAGGGUAACUUUGAGAAGAAUAUGAGAAAUACAUUUUCUGGCAAACUACUCUUCUACACCUAUCAAAUUAUUAACAUUUUGAAUCUAAAAGCAAUUGAAAACUGCUUAAGAGGUUGAGAUGUUAAACUAAUCAGAGAUUAUGGAUUGCUGGGCAGAUGAGAUCAAGUGUUAUCAUGAAUUCUUGUCAUGUGACCCUGAAAUUUAAGGCACUGUCAGAAUGUGUGGUUGAUAUGUAUAUAAGACAUUUAUUAUAAGACUUAUUAUAAGACUUUCAAAGAAAACAAAUGAUAUGUUGUUAUUUUUCUCUUGGUUUUGGUGACUUGAAGGGAAAUUUGGAGGCUUCAGUAAUUACAUAGGUAACUCCAAAAAUAAUGCCUCCUACUUAUUUCCAUGGAAACUACAACAGAUGCAAAGAGCACAGUAACAUUAUUUGAUUCAGUAAAUUCUCAGCUACAAGGCAGUGUCUUUCAGCAUAGUCACCACCACUAGCUGUGCAUUUUCACCAGCAAUAAGCAAGAGCCUACAUGCCAUGCUGAUGAAAACCUGCACAAGAGAAGGUGACCCACUGUUUCACAGCUGCUGUGAUGGCAUAAUUGCUAAGAAAAUAUUGUCCAUCUUUCAUUGGCCUGAAUGAAUAGAGGUCAGAAGGCAACAAAUCCAGACUGUGCGGUGGGUGUGGUAGGACAGUCAGACAGGACUGUCAGUGUGUUCCAUGGUCUUUGAACUGGUGUGGAGCCUGACAUUACUGUAUUGAAAUAAAUGUUGUCUUCUUCUCUUGUCUGACUAUGAAAGUUUGAGCCUUCAGCUUAGUCAGCAUCAUGAUAUAGUGGUCAGAGUUGAUGGUUUAUCCAGGUUCCAGGAAAUCUGAAAGGAUCACCUCUUUCUUAUCACAAAAGACAGUGCAUAUCAUUUUAUCCACAUCAAUGGGGAAUUCACAUACUGCCACUCCAUGGACUACUGUUUUGACUCUGGCUCAUAGUGGUGACACUGCAGUUCAUUGCUGUUAAUGAUGCUACCCAGGAAACCAUCACCUUCAGCCUUGUACUUGUUCAAUAGGUUCUGACAAACUUGCAUACAGUGUUCUUUCUGUUUCAGUGAGAGCAUUCUUGGGACCCACCUGGUGCAAACUUUGUGAUAUUUUAAUGUUACCACCGUUUCCAACUCACUGAAGCUGAUAUUUAGCUCCACACACAGUUUCCUGGUUGUAAUCCAUAAAUUUUUGGGAUCAAGCUGCUUAAGGCGCUCUUCAUUUUGUGGUGUGAUGGCUGUGCAUGGCUGUCCAGAACACGUCUUUUUCACAUCACUGUCACCACUGCUGAAAUGCACCACCGCCUCACUGUGCUCACAUCCACAGUUUGAUCUCCAUCAACAUUCACCAAGCACCAAUGAAUGUCAAUGGGUGCAUUUAUUUCUGCGUGGAGGAAUUCAGUGACACACCUUUGCUUGAUGUGCACUUCCAUGUCAGAUGCCAUUUUGUCAGACUGCCCCUCUGCUGCUAUCUGUCACAUGGCAAGAAAAUGUAAUGGAAUAUUGGCAGGAGUGUUCAACUUCAACUUCCAUAUUGCCAAUAUCCACCUCGGAUAUCUUGGGCUUACAUAGUAAAACAAAUGGCAUUACUUUUCAGAGGAGUCCUCAUAUAGGAAAGUCUGUGAGUAACUGUAUCGAUUUAUCCUGAAUUUGAAGAAUCUCCACACUGCUUUAACAGGAGCAACUGCAGUUUCCCUGGACUUCAGGAACCUGGAUUCAACACCUAGAGGUGGGAUACUUGUGGAAUUCUUCCAAGCUGAUGUGUAAGAACCCUGUCACUUGGGCUGUCAUUAGGAACUGCAACAGGCUUGAUUCUUUGUUCUGCUCUUCUCCCACUGUGUUUCUGCACACAUCCCCAGCUAGAAUAAUUGACAAUGGAUGCUGUGUAUGGGACUGAACUGUUUUACAUAAGGGAAAAACUACACUAAGAAAUUUUCACAUUUUUAUAACAUACAGUCAAUAGUCAAAACCAAUAAACAGUAAUAUGUUUUCAUUUCAGUGAUGAUGAAAGCUGUAAUACUAGUUUUGUUUAUCAAUGGAGACCUCAUUUUUUUUUCUUUAGAUACAGAUGAAUAAGAAUUUGAGUUACACAUUUUAUUAAACAGAGAAACGCAGUUGUUUUGUUCUCUGGUUUAGGAGCACAGAUGGAAUGUAAAAGAGGGCAGGUGAAGGAGGCUUGAACACGAAUUUGUAACAAUUAGUAGGCUGGAUUACAACUUGUAAGUAAGAGUCAUGUGAUAUAAAUAUAUCAUGGCCACGUGGCCCAUUUGGGCUAUAUAUUGGGUGUAAAAUAGCAACUAAAUGUCUGGAAAGCAACUACUUGCCUGUCUAUGAGACAUCUGGCUUUUUUCCUCAUCUUGAGAAUAACUUGCUGCUGCAGCCAACUGUUGUGUUUCUGGGAACUGUUUUAUUUUCCUGCAUAAAAUGUAAGUGUAAUGUGACACAAACCAAUUUUCUCUUUUAGAUUACUUAGUAGAAUUUUUUAGUUUAUUUAUUUAUUUAUUUUGGAUCUUUGCUGCAGCAACCUCUGCUUCUUUUGCUACCCUUUUUGGCUGCCCUUCCUACCAGCCUCCUGGCCAACUAGUUGGGUUGGUUUAAUCAUUAUAUUUGGUACAGAUUCCCUGCAUUUAAAAGACCCAAUGCCUUUUCUUAAUGGUGUUUUUAUUAACACAGACCAGGAAAAGAUCAUUGAAUCACAGAAUUGCUUAAGCUGGAAGGGACCUUUAAAGGUCAUAUAAUCCAGUCCCCCUGCAAUGAACAGGGACACCUACAGCUAGAUCAGGUUGCACAGAGUCCAGUCAGCCUGACCUUGAAUAUCUCCAGGGAUGGGGCAGCCAUCACCUCUCUGGGCAACCUGUUCGAGUGCCUCACCACCAUUACUGUAAAAAUCAUUUUUCUUAUGUCCAAUCUAAAUCUCCCAUCUUUUAGUUUGAAAUUAUUUCUCCUUGUUCCAUCACAACAGACCCUGCUAAAGAGUCUGUCCCCUUCUUUCUUACAGCCCCCCUUUAGAAAAUGAAAGGCUGCUCUCAGGUCUCCCUGGAGCCUUCUCUUCUCCAGGUUGAGAAGCCCCAGCUCUCUCAGCCUGUCCUCAUAGAAGAGGCAUUCCACUCUUUGGAUCAUUUUUGUGGCCUUCCUCUGGAUGUGCUCCAACAGGUCCAUAUCUCUCCUGUGCUGAGGACUCCACAUCUGAAUGCAAUAUUCCAGAUGAGGUCCCACCAGUGCAGAGUAGAGGAGCAGGAUCACAUCUCUUGACGUGCUGGCCAUGCUUCUUUUGAUCCAGCCCAGGAUGCGUUUGGUUUUCUGGGCUGUGAGAGUACAUUGCUGGCUCCUAUAGAACUUGCCAUCCACCAGUAUCCCUAAAUCCUUUUCAGCAGGGCUGUGCUAUCCUUACAUCCCCCAGCCAUCCCUAAAUCCUUUUCAGCAGGGCUGUGCUCUAUCCUUUCAUCCCCCAGCUUGUAUUGACAGUAGGGGUUGCCACAACCCAGACGCAAGACCUUACUCUUGGCUUUGUUGAACCUCAUGAGGUUCUCCUGCACCCACUGUUCAGGCCUGUCUAGGUCUCCCUGGGUGACAUCCCAUCCCUCAGGCAUGUCGACCACACAACACAGCUUGGUGUCUUCAAAGCUCAUAGUAAAAAGGUUGCUGUUUUAUGAGCCAAAAUACAGCCAUCUGAAUGGUUUGGAGCUGGGAGACUGCAGCUACUUCUCUGUGUAUUACACUGUCAGAGGUGUCUCCUGGUGCUCUCCACUAGCCUGCAGUCAUAAGGGUAAUUUUCUUUAGAUCCUUACUGAUUUCUCACCCUCCUGAGGAAUGCUGAAGCAUCUAGAAAAACAGUGUGAAGGCAUUCACUUUUUGGAAAUAGAUACGGUGGAACAGUGAGAUACAGCUCACAGGCUACAAUUCUUCUUUCUUUUUCUGAAAUUUCCUUUCUAGUAAUAGAUUAAUUGAAUCCACUUCUCUAUUUCUGAAAACUACUGAGCUAGAUUAAAAGUCAAGCCUUCCACUUAUAUUUUUUAAAUUUUCUGUUUCCCAUCUUCAAAUGUUUCAUGAAACUGCCACUGACAGACAAAGAAACUGAACCUAAAGAUCACUAUUUCCCACUUGUUUACCCAGGACUCGUUGGUAUACAAAUGUUAACUUUUCUGGAGUAAUGAAACGAUUAUAUAUAUCACUUGUGAAUUUUUGGGAGCUAGUUGACAUAUAAUCUGGCAUUCUAUUUGUGCAAAAAGCAGAUUAGGUAUUUUGUGAUAUGUCUUUUAGGACAAACUAUGGAAAGAGCAUUAUUACAUGUAAUUCUGGUAACAAAGAAUGGAACAUUUGGGCGUGAAAUGAGUAAUAAUACUAUUGACGGACAGAAAAAAAUGCAUCUGUAUGUGUGUAUUUAUAUCUAUAACAACACUUGCAAAAUUGAAAAUUCUUUUACUGUCCUCUCCUGAUGAUUCUUUUCAGCCCUGAGCCAAGGUCCUUAGCAUGGUCUUUUCCCCCUGCUAUUCACUGUUGGGUUGCAAGGUUUAAUUUAACUACAACAUGAAUAAGGAGACAUUGCACUUCAAAGCAGUAACUCUCAGCAGUUCUAAAAUACAGACCUCUGUAGAAUCAUAGUAAAUUCACUCCUAAAUUGUCACUUUUUUUUUUUUUUUCCACUAAUUAUAGCAACUGAAUUAACAGACUGAGGCAACAGAAUAUAUGGGGUUAUUCAACUACAUUAUAUACUUUAUGGGUUCCUUCAGAAGGAAAGAGAAGCUAUAGCUACAGUAGAAUAAACUUUCUCUUCUCAGAACAUUGAGUCCAUGGCAUUUUUAUUUGAAAACUCACUCUUUGAUUGUGGUGCAAUGGGAGGAGUUUUCACAGCAAUUAAAUUUAAUCAAAACAAUCAUCCAUUUUAGCUCAAUUUGUAUGUUCACGUAGUUUUAAAGAGAGUAUGCCUUCUUCUGUCCUUUAGAAGUACAUAAUCUGAUUUGGCAGGGCACAUUUGUGGUGUCUCUGUGGUAGAUUUUCUAUUAAACUUACAUAAAUGCUCCCAUUCUUGAGAAAAUAAGUCAGAUGAGUUGGUCUGAGACAUUCAUUAAAGCCUACUCCAAAACAUGUUUUAUAUGAAAAAUGGCUUUGCUACUGAGAAUGAUUGGUAUGUCAAGAAUUUCAUUUCAGGCAACAUUUUUGUUAUUAGAACAAGCUUCUGUUGUCUACACAGGGGUUUUGUUCAGAAAGAUAUAAUGCAAGAUAGGAAAAAAGCAUCCUUCCAGUGUUCUUAUCUACUAUGCAGUACUUCUAUUGUAAGCAUAGAUAAUAACAAUUCUAAUAUUUUUUUUCAUUUCCUUGGGUGCUGCUUCUUACAUCUUAUAAUGGUCCUCAUGAUUUUACUGCUCCUUCUCUGGAUGCUGGGAAAAUAAUCAGAGCUUGUUUUGUGGUGAGCAGUGUACUUGUUUAUUGAUACCUUAGACCUGGAAGCUUUAAAGGUGAUCUUUUAAAUCCCUUUUCAACUGUCUGUAUUUCCAUGUAAAAUAGGAAGACAAUCACAUUAAAAUGUUUUCCUUGUUUCAUACAUCA
ensembl:lncRNA